rnacentral:rRNA from 1 species
GACGAACCGUGCGAACGUUGUUCGGAAUCACUGGGCUUAAAGGGCGCGUAGGCGGCUUCGCAAGUCCGGGGUGAAAGCCCCCAGCUCAACUGGGGAAGUGCCUUGGAUACUGCGGGGCUCGAGGGAGGUAGGGGUGCGUGGAACUUCCGGUGGAGCGGUGAAAUGCGUUGAUAUCGGAAGGAACGCCGGUGGCGAAAGCGACGCACUGGACCUCUUCUGACGCUGAGGCGCGAAAGCCAGGGGAGCAAACGGG